rnacentral:rRNA from 1 species
AGUGAACGCUGGCGGUAGGCCUAACACAUGCAAGUCGAACGGCAGCACAGUAAGAGCUUGCUCUUACGGGUGGCGAGUGGCGGACGGGUGAGGAAUACAUCGGAAUCUACUUUUUCGUGGGGGAUAACGUAGGGAAACCUACGCUAAUACCGCAUACGACCUACGGGUGAAAGCAGGGGAUCUUCGGACCUUUCGCGAUUGAAUGAGCCGAUGCCGGAUUAGCUAGUGGGCGGGGUAAGGGCCCACCAGGGCGACGAUCCGUAGCUGGUCUGAGAGGAUGAUCAGCCACACUGGAACUGAGACACGGUCCAGACUCCUACGGGAGGCCGCAGUGGGGAAUAUUGGACAAUGGGCGCAAGCCUGAUCCAGCCAUGCCGCGUGGGUGAAGAAGGCCUUCGGGUUGUAAAGCCGUUUUGUUGGGAAAGAAAAGCAGCAGGUUAAUACCCCGCUGUUCUGACGGUACCCAAAGAAUAAGCACCGGCUAACUUCGUG